rnacentral:rRNA from 1 species
CCUCGAUGUCGGCUCGUCACAUCCUGGGGCUGGAGAAGGUCCCAAGGGUUGGGCUGUUCGCCCAUUAAAGUGGCACGCGAGCUGGGUUCAGAACGUCGCAAGACAGUUCGGUCUCUAUCUGUUGCGGGCGUAGGAGUAUUGCGGAGAGCUGUCUCCAGUACGAGAGGACCGGGAUGGACGUACCUCUAGUGUACCUGUUGUGGCGCCGGCUGCAUUGCAGGGUAGCUAUGUACGGAACGGAUAAGCGCUGAAAGCAUCUAAGCGCGAAGCCAACUCCAAGAUGAGUACUCCAUGAGGGUCGUGGAAGAUGACCACGUUGAUAGGUUACAGGUGGAAGCGCAGUAAUGUGUGGAGCCGAGUAAUACUAAUUACCCGAAAGCUUCCUUUA